rnacentral:rRNA from 1 species
CAGUCGCCGCGGUAAUACGUAGGUGGCAAGCGUUGUCCGGAAUUAUUGGGCGUAAAGCGCGCGCAGGCGGCCUCUUAAGUCUGAUGUGAAAGCCCCCGGCUCAACCGGGGAGGGCCAUUGGAAACUGGGAGGCUUGAGUAUAGGAGAGAAGAGUGGAAUUCCACGUGUAGCGGUGAAAUGCGUAGAGAUGUGGAGGAACACCAGUGGCGAAGGCGACUCUUUGGCCUAUAACUGACGCUGAGGCGCGAAAGCGUGGGGAGCAAACAGGAUUAGAUACCCCUGUAGUCCCUGUCUCUUAUAA